UUCUAGGAAUAAGCUGGAGAGCACACACUCCCCUGGGCUUUUCAGCUCCCUGUAAAAUCUACCCACUUGUUUAUACAGCCUGUCUUCCUUCCCAGGGUUCUUAGGAGAAUCAAAUAAGUUCCUGAGAGAGUUAGACUCCCCCGGUAGAAAGAGCAAGCAGAUGAUCAGAAGUACCUGAAUCUGGAUUCUGGGACUUUGUUUUAAUGGCUUUGAGUUUUUGUUUUGCUUAUGAGCAAACAAAAACUGGUUUGUGAACUGGUGUGAACUGGUCUUGUGAGUCACAGGGAGAGCUGCUCUAUGAUCUCACGGCUACAGAUGUCACGCGGCUCACUACGAGCACACGGUUUUUUGGUUCCAGUUUUGUUACAGGCACAGAGGUUUUCUAGCCCCUGGCUUCUAGAUGAGAUUCACUUACAUAUAUCUAGUCCCUUAGUCACCAGUUGCACACGGCCACAAAAUGUGGGCUGAGAUUAGUGGCGCGGUCUGUGAAGGUGAGAUUGAGUGCAUCAAGAAAAAUCAUAAAAGGCCCCAAAUCCAUGGCCCUGACUUCAUUAAGCAGGCUCGAUAUUCCUCUAGUGAUCUAGCUUCAGUCACACACAGCCUCCUGACCUUUUGCCAGCUCAGGCCUGUUGUCAGCAGCUGGGGGCCAGGUUGCCCACCAUGCAGAUUAUCCUGGGAAUAUUCAAAAGGGACGGUGCAAUAAGCCCGCAGUCUUGUAAUUUUACUUCAAAAAGCAAAAAAUCUCCCAGAUAAUGAGCCUUUUGCUCUAAUAAGAACUGUAGGAUUGAUUAGGUUCAAACUGUUAAGAGACAUCCUCGUGGUUAAUGAAGCAGUGUUGAAAAUGCCUCUUGAUUCUUUGGAAACUUAGAUCCUACCAAAGCGCAAGAAGAGAGCCGGAGGUGGGGUCCAUGAGGCUGUAUGUGAGUCAACAGACUCCAGAUAACAGACGCAAAACAUUUGUUCUCUGAAAAGUUAAUAUUUAUUUGAGAGUUAUUUCUGCACGGGGCCAGCAAUAAACUUUGAUGAUUAUGGUUAAAGCAUUCUUUGGAUGACAUGUUUUCCUGUGAAUCCUGAGUUGGGGGACGGAAGCUUCUGCCAUUUUAAUUCCUUUGUUAAUGUCUUUAUGAAUGCAAUUAACACUUCAUUCACGCUUCUUUGUUUCUGGAUCCCAUUAGGAUGUGGUUUAUGCCAGCUUCUCUCUCCCAGGAGACAGCCCGCAUCACACAACAUUUCACUUAGCUGUGUGGCUGAGCACUGACAAACUCAAUUUGCAAAAGGCAAGCGUGAGUUGACACCAUGCUGUGGCAGUGGUCCUGAAGGGAGCAAAGGACUCAUUUCCUUCACAGGUAGAACCCACCUUCUCUGGAAGCAUGCUUGUCCAAGAUUAUAGCAGACGAGGAGCUUUAUCCUCGGCCCAGGAGUAGGACAGCUGUAGCAGUUGACCUCACAGCCAGGAACAGCAAAGUCCAGAGAGACUCUUCCUGUGGCAUCUCUGAGGAACCAGAAACUUUUCCCCAGCACCUCGUUUGCCUGAGCUAUCACAUGAUCAUUUCGGAACCAACCACCAGUGUGGGCUGAGAUGACUGAACAGUCCCCUCUGGGCCAGUGGCAGGUGGGGGUAGGGUUUGGGGAGGGUUCCCCACAGGCACAGGAGCUUCCUUGGGGAGGAAUGCCAGACAUAAUCAGAGUCUGGAUAAGAAGAAGUGGAAACAGAUGUAGGAGAUGCAAAUGAAAAUAACCUCCUUCUAUUUCAGAAGUCAUUCUGGUUGCUUCUUAAGGAUGUUUUAGUAAUUUCUGAACUUACUUCUCCAUGUUCCAAGUAAUACGCCACCAGGGUCAUACUUGCCGACUGAUGACCAUUAAAAAAAAAUUUUAAAUUAUGUUCAGUAUCUUCUGUCUCAGAAAACAAGGCUUGAUUUACAGGACUAAAAUAAAUAAUUUUUUUUUUUAACUAAA